rnacentral:rRNA from 1 species
AUUGAACGCUGGCGGCAGGCCUAACACAUGCAAGUCGAGCGGAUGAAGGGAGCUUGCUCCUGGAUUCAGCGGCGGACGGGUGAGUAAUGCCUAGGAAUCUGCCUGGUAGUGGGGGAUAACGUCCGGAAACGGGCGCUAAUACCGCAUACGUCCUGAGGGAGAAAGUGGGGGAUCUUCGGACCUCACGCUAUCAGAUGAGCCUAGGUCGGAUUAGCUAGUUGGUGGGGUAAAGGCCUACCAAGGCGACGAUCCGUAACUGGUCUGAGAGGAUGAUCAGUCACACUGGAACUGAGACACGGUCAAGACUCCUACGGGAGGCAGCAGUGGGGAAUAUUGGACCAUGGGCGAAAGCCUGAUCCAGCCAUGCCGCGUGUGUGAAGAAGGUCUUCGGAUUGUAAAGCACUUUAAGUUGGGAGGAAGGGCAGUAAGUUAAUACCUUGCUGUUUUGACGUUACCAACAGAAUAAGCACCGGCUAACUUCGUG